ACACAACACCCCGACCCCGAACGACACCCCUGACCUCGACAUAGCACCCCCGAUACCUCCCGAAAAGGUGCUCUUCGGCCUUCCAGAGGCCUACGGGGUCAUAUAUUUGUGAAUUAUGAGUUAGGUCAUAUAUUUUUCGAUUUUGUUAUAAAAACAUCGUAUUUGUGUUGAUCAGGUGGUUUUAAAUGUGCAGUUAUUUCAUCGUUGCGAGGGUCUGGUGUUCGACGACCUCCCCGUGCGUUCGAUGAGCUCCGCCCCUGCGUUCAUGGGCUUGGGAAUUGAAGAUACCUAGACUCCCAUGAGGUGGGUAUCAUCAGGUAAAGCUAUGUUAUGAACAGCGACAACUCAUAUGAGGAUGCCGAGGAGAUCAAUUUGAUUCUUUUAUUGCUAUUGUUGCACGACAAUAUCUGUUAUUGUCGCUAUUGUCAGGAAAAAUAUCCCAAUAUACACACUGUAUUUGCCAAUGUAACAGCAUGGUUAAUCUCAAUCUGGGACAAUGCAUUAUUUUCUAAAUAUAGUCAAACAUCACCGGAUAUAUACUUUGAACAGUCAAAGGAACAUGCUACCAGCAGGAAGAAAACAUGCUUGCAUUUUCUUAGAUGGUAUGUAGGACCUGAAUACUAUUUGCCGGACUGCCGACGUACUAUGUAUAUUGUAACAGAACUACGUGGAUGAUAAUAUCAUUAGAUAAACUUGAAAGAAUUAUGGUGGCUGUUAGUUUGCUUGAAGUGAGUAUACACUACAAUGCUUCUCAUAGCUUUAUACUUCUAUGAUGCAAACUUAUGUAUUCUGGAGUUUUUUUUUGCUAGGGAACUCUGAAGCAUGUGGUUGAAGUAAAUCUACAUUCUGAGAAAGAAUUUGCAUAUUCAGGAGGACUGCAAACGUAAUGCUUGCUUUGUUAAGAUUUUUAUGUUCUCGAGGAUGCUAAAGGGUUCCUUCUGAGAACGAAGAGGACAAGCUUGAACUCAAGCUGCCUCUUCACAUAGAAGUGCUUGAACGCAAUAUGCUCCUCCUGAGUCAGCUGACAUAUAUAGAAAUAAGAUUUUAUGAGAAGUAACCUGAAGGUCAGAUUUGUUUUGUAGUAACUGUACCUCUUAUGUUAUCUUUUUCUUCUUUAUGAUUGGGAGUGGUAUAUGUUGUUUUAGAGGGUCUAUUUUUCAGAAAAAAAGAUUAUGCUUUUUUGUUUCUUUACUCAACAUAA